rnacentral:rRNA from 1 species
GCGUGGCGGGCGUGCUUACCAUGCAAGUCGAACGGAGUGCUCCGGAAAGAGAUUUCGGUCAAUGGAUGGAGUUACUUAGUGGCGGACGGGUGAGUAACGCGUGAGGAACCUGCCUUUCAGAGGGGGACAACAGUUGGAAACGACUGCUAAUACCGCAUAACGCAUGGGUAUCGCAUGGUAUCUGUGCCAAAGAUUUAUCGCUGAGAGAUGGCCUCGCGUCUGAUUAGCUAGUUGGUGAGGUAACGGCCCACCAAGGCGACGAUCAGUAGCCGGACUGAGAGGUUGGCCGGCCACAUUGGGACUGAGAUACGGCCCAGACUCCUACGGGAGGCAGCAGUGGGGAAUAUUGGGCAAUGGGCGCAAGCCUGACCCAGCAACGCCGCGUGAAGGAAGAAGGCUUUCGGGUUGUAAACUUCUUUUAAGAGGGAAGAGCAGAAGACGGUACCUCUUGAAUAAGCCACGGCUAACUACGUGCCAGCAGCCGCGGUAAUACGUAGGUGGCAAGCGUUGUCCGGAUUUACUGGGUGUAAAGGGCGUGUAGCCGGGCUGACAAGUCAGAUGUGAAAUUCCGGGGCUCAACCCCGGACCUGCAUUUGAAACUGUUGGUCUUGAGUAUCGGAGAGGCAGGCGGAAUUCCUAGUGUAGCGGUGAAAUGCGUAGAUAUUAGGAGGAACACCAGUGGCGAAUCGGCUGUGGCGCACA